CGUGCUCAAACAUGCAAGUCGAACGGAGUUAAGUGAAAGCUUGCUUUACUUAACUUAGUGGCGGACUGGUGAGUAACGCGUGAACAAUCUGCCUAUCACAGGGGGAUAACAGUUGGAAACGACUGCUAAUACCGCAUAAGACCACAGGGUGGCAUCACCGUAGGGGUCAAAGGAGUUAAAUCUGGUGAUAGAUGAGUUUGCGUAUCAUUAGCUAGUUGGUGAGGGUAAAGGCCCACCAAGGCAACGAUGAUUAGCCGAUCUGAGAGGAUGACCGGCCACACUGGGACUGAGAUACGGCCCAGACUCCUACGGGAGGCAGCAGUUAGGAAUAUUGGGCAAUGGAGGAAACUCUCGACCCAGCAACGCCGCGUGAAGGAAGAAGGUUUUCGGACUGUAAACUUCUGAUCUGAAGGGAAAAAGAAAGUGAUGGUGCCUCAGGAGAAAGCCACGGCUAACUACGUGCCAGCCGCCGC
rnacentral:rRNA from 1 species